UACGGAGGGGGCGAGCGUUGUUCGGAGUUACUGGGCGUAAAGCGCACGUAGGCGGUGCGGUAAGUCAGGGGUUAAAGGCUGCAGCUCAACUGCAGUAAGGCCUUUGAUACUAUCGCGCUAGAGUACCAGAGAGGAUGGCGGAAUUCCCGGUGUAGCGGUGAAAUGCGUAGAUAUAGGGAGGAACACCGGUUGCGAAGGCGGCUACCUGGCCGGUAACUGACGCUGAGGUGCGAGAGCGUGGGGAGCAAACAGG
rnacentral:rRNA from 1 species